AAAAUUUAGCGUUUAUCUCAUUAGUGGUCCACGCUUUGAAGUAGAGGAGGAAAAAACGAGAUCGAUCUAAUUAAUUGCACGAAUUUUCAGAGGUCCAUCGAUGAGAACGAUCAAUGACAAGGAGCAAAUGAAAAUUGUCGUGCUCGUAGUUCGAAGAAAACGAUUCAAAACAGAAUUUUCGAGUGUACUAAGAUGUGGUAAAGCUCGUGCCAGAUAAGAUGAUGUCAAAAAUUGCAACAAUUGUUUUUACAUCGAUGAUCCGGGCGGAAUAUGCGAACCUUGACAGAAGAAGCAAAUAAUUCGGAGAAUUUCAACUUGAAAUUGGCGAUGGGAGAUUAAAUGAUGAAGAUAAUAAAGUGAUGAUUCCAGAAAUAUGUAUUGCAUCUGCUGACUCUGAUAUCGUUGACGUCAUCUACGGGAAAUCAGUUAGGGAGAAGCAAUUUGAAAAAAUAGCGAAACCUGUAAUACUGUCGGCGAGAAAUAUUGAAGUUGAAGAAAUAAAUAAACGCGUUGUUCAGUUAUUUGAUGGUACAUCAAAACGAAUAUACACAAGUGUAGACAGCAUUGAAAACUAGAAUAAUGGUGAUACUUAUGAAGCUUUAUCGAAAAAGUAUUUGAAAUGGUCGACCAGCGUAUUGAGAUUCGAUUGAUGCAAUUUUUCACGACGCCGAGAUUAGUUCAUGUGCUAUAUUCUACACCUGCGAUUACCACCUUUUAUUAUA